AGUUGAUUGUCAAACAGAGAUGGGAACGCUCAACGCAUUUCGUUUUACAACUUUAGGAAAAUUGAAAAUGGGUUAUAGGUGUCCAUUUGUUGGAUCUCAAUUACACUGACAUAAAAACACGUAAAGCAUCGGAGAUCUCGUCGUAAACCAGCUUUUAUUCAUCAAAAUCAAGAUUAAGUAAAUAUUUUGUGUCCCGGCCGAUGCCCAGUGGGGUUGGGAACGAGAAGCGGGAAUUUGCUUGCCAGAUUCUUCUGAUUUCGAAAGAUACCCUGGUCAUUUUUGGUGGUUACGGGGAGAAGGAACAGACGGUUGAAUGGAAACAGCCCCGGUACCGUCUGUCUGAUAGAGUCCCCGUUCCAGGCAGUGUAUCAUUUCUUGUAACCUACCCGUCUUCACCAUGAUUUAUGUGGGGUUAACCGCGUGAAAUUUGCAUUCAUUCACAGAAAAUUCCCUCCAAAGGUGUAAUCUCUCUGGAUUGCCUUAAUUAGGAAAUUGGUGGGAAUUAUUCGGGGCAUAUGCUCGUCUUUGGAACUCUUGGGAAACCAGAGAGGCGCACUCGAGUACGGGGAACGAGCCGAGAUGACAUUGCUUAGGGCCAUCUUGGUUUAACCGUUUUAUGCCCAAUUUCGUUUUCGAAAUUUUAAGUAAAUUGAGUACAGGUCUUUUGUUGAAUAAGAGUGGAGUCUCAUGUCUCUUUAGUUUCUCCUUUGUUCUGGUUUUUAGCGCUUGGUGCAUUUUGAACUUUUGACAUAUUCCGUUUGAUACUUUUGGUGUCUGGUCAGCUAUGCAACCAAAACCCAAUAUGUAGAAGAAUGAAUGCUUUGUUCUUAUAAAAACAACCAGAAUGUUUAAAAACUGAAAACAGUCUCUUCGUGCAGAACAAACGAUAUCUGUGUACACCAGACACGAUUUCUUUUCAAAAAUCUUCAUACCAUAUCCCUUGCUUUACGAUAACUGCAAUUUCUUCGAAAUGAACCUGUAAGAAUGACUUAAUAUUUCAACUCCAUUAAUUUGUAAACUGUCAUAGAUAUACUUGUUUACAGAUUAACUCUAAUCCCUGAGUAUACCCCGCUAAUCCCUAUAUGGCAGUAGUCUGUGGAACUUGUACGUAUUCAGGGUUCCUUCCAGAGACUGAUAACCGAGCCGAUCAGUCAAUAAACUUAUGGUAAUUAGGCAAACAAAUGUACAUAUAUUAAGCACUCAAGACACAUUACGGAGAGGUGGACAAGCACUGCUUUAUAGCUCUCUCGACCAAACAUUGCGUCACAUGGGGAUAAUAAAGAUUGUGCCGUAUCUUUAACGGACCACAAAGUUCAGCGACUGACCAGUGCAUUAACAAAGGCGCUAUUUUGCUUCAAUAGUUUUACUUUGCAAAACCACGUAUAUACAUGCACUCUGUUUCUGUUAAAAAAGGAAUACGACGACAAUAAUUAACUAAAAGCAUGCACAUGCAUGGAUCCAGAA